rnacentral:rRNA from 13 species
CGGCUAACUACGUGCCAGCAGCCGCGGUAAUACGUAGGGUGCGAGCGUUGUCCGGAAUUACUGGGCGUAAAGAGCUCGUAGGUGGUUUGUCGCGUCGUUUGUGGAAUACCGCAGCUUAACUGCGGGGUUGCAGGCGAUACGGGCAUAACUUGAGUGCUGUAGGGGAGACUGGAAUUCCUGGUGUAGCGGUGGAAUGCGCAGAUAUCAGGAGGAACACCGAUGGCGAAGGCAGGUCUCUGGGCUGUUACUGACGCUGAGGAGCGAAAGCAUGGGGAGCGAACAGGAUUAGAUACCCUGGUAGUCCAUGCCGUAAACGUUGGGCACUAGGUGUGGGGGACAU